UGAGAGAAAAUCUCACCAAGCAAGAAGUUGCUGAAUAUGGACAGGCUUGAUGGAAGGUUAGCAUGUUUGCUUGUCAGCUUAGAGCAGAAACAAGAGAGAGUCAAAUAUCAUACAUCACUCAAGAGGAUGCUGAAUUGCCCUACUUGUUGUCAUCACGUGUUGCCACAUCAAAAUGGUUUAUGGUCUAGGUUCAAAGUCAAGCAAGUCACAAUCCACUCAAAACAUACUGAAAAUGGAUAUGAGCAUCUCGACCCCGUGGUUCCGAAAGAAAAUGAAUGUAUAGAUGAAGAUAUUGGUGACAGCCUUUAUCACCGCCAACUGAAGACAAACUAAGUGCCAGCUUACUAAAGUUCUUUGAAGCUAGGUAAAGAUCAACAUGAAAAUCAAACAGAUAAACCUAGAAAAGAAGGUUCUUAAAACUUUAAAGAGAUUCCAACCCCCUAUGUUCAUGGCGACAAGUGUUGGCAUUUGAUGAACUCAAUGCGAUCAGCGAAUAACAAGGUAGAUUAC